rnacentral:rRNA from 1 species
GUGCCAGCAGCCGCGGUAAUACGGAGGAUGCGAGCGUUAUCCGGAUUUAUUGGGUUUAAAGGGUGCGUAGGCAGUUUGUUAAGUCAGCGGUGAAAUCUAGAGGCUCAACCUCGAAACUGCCGUUGAAACUGGCGAACUUGAGUGUAGAUGAGGUAGGCGGAAUUCGUGGUGUAGCGGUGAAAUGCAUAGAUAUCACGAGGAACUCCGAUUGCGAAGGCAGCUUACUAAGGUACAACUGACGCUGAAGCACGAAAGCGUGGGUAUCAAACAGGAUUAGAUACCCUGGUAGUCC